rnacentral:rRNA from 1 species
GACGAACGCUGGCGGCGUGCUUAACACAUGCAAGUCGAGCGGUAAGGCCCUUUCGGGGGUACACGAGCGGCGAACGGGUGAGUAACACGUGGGUGACCUGCCCUCAGCUCUGGGAUAAGCCUGGGAAACCGGGUCUAAUACUGGAUAUGACUCCAUGACGCAUGUUGGUGGGGUGGAAAGCCUUGUGCGGCUGAGGAUGGGCCCGCGGCCUAUCAGCUUGUUGGGUGGGGUGAUGGCCUACCAAGGCGACGACGGGUAGCCGGCCUGAGAGGGCGACCGGCCACACUGGGACUGAGACACGGCCCAGACUCC